CUGGAGGUAACUAGGGAAAACAGAGGGUCAGCAAGGAACAAGGCAGAUGUGUGAGGGAUCCUCACAUCACCACUCUGUCCCAUGUUUUUCCAUCAUAUACCAUGUUGUUUCAUCAUAUCCCAGGCUGUUCCGUCAUAUCCCAUGAUGUUCUGUCAUGUUCCAUGAUGUUCUAUCAUGUCCUUCAGGAACCGUGGGUAUCGCUGCCAGCACACAUGUCACGUUGGGUCACAAAGGGCACUGUGACAUGCUGCCAUGCCCCAUGCCAUCAGCAGUGCCCAUGUCACAGUAUAUCACAAGGGCCCCUGUAAUCACAUGUGCCCUGGUGCCUUCAGCUGCCCCAUCCCCUCAGUGCUGUUGGCCAGUGCAUCCUCAGGGACUCCCAUCAGCUCAUCUCUCAGGGCUUCUCACCAUCUCAUCCCCUCGGGGACUCCCAGCAGUACAGUUUUGAGGGCCACCCAUCAGCAGCAUUCUGUUACAGUGCCACCAAGCCUUGGGCAAGGGGGAUCUCUGAGGCUGCCUCAGUACAGAUGCACUCUCACUAUGAAAUACUUCUUAAUAUUGCAUCUGUAACUGAUUGUUCUCUCAGGUGGGGAGGAGGUCAACCCCCAGAGAUGGCAGUUUUGAAGGAGCACAUGCUGAGCUCCUUAGUGGUUCACUGUGUUCAGCCUCCACUGCUCCUGCUUGCUCUUCUCUCACUUGGUUCAGAUCCUCGACAGUCCCUCUGACAGCAUGAGGGCAUAGCCCUGAACAACAUCCAAAAUGUCUUUGCUUUUAUUCACUUUCUUUCAAGCUACCUGUUUGUUGUUGUUAAUUUUGGAAACUGAUGGGAGACAAGUUCCUUAAAGUGUAAAAUGGUUACUUUGAUCAUUCAUUUUCCCAAUGCUGUAAAACUUUCACUUCAGCUCAAUGCCAGACUGUUAGCUGAAGGAUCUGUGCAGAUGAAAAAGGACAAACCCAAAAGCUUGAACAAUUUUUCACCCUUUAUCAAGACAAUGAAAUGAAUAUAUUAUUUUCUGUGACAUAUAGGCAAAAAUUUCAACAUUACAAACCAGGGGCUGACUAUAGUCCUGCCUUUUUUUUUUUCCUUUCUGUACAGCCUUUUGGUGAUAAAAGGUUUUGUUUUAAGCCUAGUAGUUAGACUUGGGUAGGAAACAUGUAUAGGAAAGUGCUUUCUGGGAAACAUUAAAAAUUAUAACAUUUUAACAGCCUAAAACAAAAACAUGCCCAUCUGUCUUAGCAAGUUCAAAGGACAAAAGGCCCACCAUUUUUGAUGGCAAUGAAAGGAACAACAAAAAAAAGAUAAAAAGAUUGAAACAGAAAGAAACAAAGAAGUUAUGGAUGAGAUAUGAGAUGAGCAUUAGAGCCAUACUGCCAGCGCAAACCAAACAGUUUCCAGGCAGUGUGGAAGAAGACAGGUUGGAACCAAAUGCUCCACAAGGCGGGUUUGAACACCCUCGUUUCCUGUGGUUCUGUGAUGAGACCUACCCAGGUGAACACAUGCUUGCCUGUGCUGGGCUUCCAGUGAAAUAUUGAUGUUAAUAAAUUAAACAGAUUAAAAAGAAUUAAA